UACGUUUUUGACCUGCUGGGCACAUAUGCCGUGCUUUCUCUCCCACCCUGCCGACCGCUCGCGCCAUCCAGACCUCACUCUGAGAAACCGCCGGCCGGUACAAUGGUCGUCUGCAAAUGCCGGAAGGCAACAAAGCUCUAUUGUUUCGUACAUAAAGUUCCUGUUUGCGGUGAAUGCAUUUGUUUCCAGGAGCACCAGAUAUGCGUGGUACGUGCUUAUUCUGAAUGGGUCAUAGAUGGUGAAUAUGAUUGGCCACCAACCUGCUGCAUGUGCCGGGCAGUUCUAGAUGAUGCAUCAGAUUGUCAAACUACCCGGCUUGGCUGCUUGCAUGUUAUUCACACAAGCUGCUUGGUAUCCCAUAUACAGAAAUUUCCUCCUAAUACUGCUCCUGCAGGAUAUAUCUGUCCAGCGUGCUCUUCUCCAAUAUGGCCUCCAAAGAAUAUUAAAGAUUCUUCAUCUCGCCUUCAUUUGAAUUUGAAGGAAUCAAUGAUCCAGAGUGGCCUAGAAAAGAACAUUCUUGGAAACCAAGUUGCAUUUCCGAAAGCAGAAUCCCGAGCUCCUCCUCCUGCAUUCUCAUCAGGCCCACUUAUGGGAAUAUCUCCUGAAGUUGAAGAUAUGGGCCUAAAGCCCUCUACCUUGAAAGAGGAAAGCUUGGCUGGUGGAUAUCCAUUAGAUUCUGGCACUGCAAGGCUAUCAGUGGAAGAUAUCAUUGAGAUCAAUGGUCCGAGCUCUAUGGGGAAGCAAUUUACCCCAAGUCAGGAGUCAAACUUCUCUAAAAACUUAAGUCCUGUUGGUCCUGGUGCCACAACGAGAAAGAGUGCUGGUUACAAUGUUGAUCGACAUAAUUCAGAAGUUUCAUAUUAUGCGGAUGAUGAAGAUGGAACACAAAAGAAGUAUUCUCGUAGAGGCCCUUUCCAUCAUAAGUUCCUCAGACUUUUGCUGCCUUUCUGGUCAAGUGCAUUGCCAACAUUGCCUGUGACUGCACCUCCACGUAAAGAUAGGGAAGGGAAUGCAACAGAUGACAUUAAUGAAGGGCGGUCACGGCAUUCAAAAUCUUCAAGGAUGGAUCCCAGAAAAAUGCUUCUCUUUCUGGCAAUCAUGGCAUGCAUGGCGACCAUGGUUAUACUGUACUAUAGGAUUGCACAACGCAAUCUUUUGGAAGCUGUACCUGAAGAUGGCAAAGAAUGAGGGUGAAGAUCAAGAGCUAAGGGGGACUACUUUACGUGCCUGUCAUCCGCGCCUUGGAGGAUCUAAGAAGCUAGGGUGCUGCCAGUCAAAACAAGGGGCUAUACAGUUACAGUGACCCUGCUAAGUGUUAUAUAGUUUCUUUUAUAAGUAAUAUAUACAUUUAUAUAGAUGUAUAUAUGUAACACUUUUGAUUUUCACAGGUGGAGCAGGAGCAGACCUAGACCCAAGCUCCACGCUCGAACAGGAGGUUGACGUCACUCCUUUCUCGCUCAUUUCCCCCUCUUCGUUUCUUCCUCUACCGUGUUGCAGAGAAGAGGAAGGCGGAUGGUGUGGCAGUGGUGGCAACUGGACCGGCGAAGGAAGGGCGAGGGCGUUGCAUGACUUGGGGACGUGUUCUUUCCCCUCAUAACAGCAAGUAGAUGGCAUUGGUGGUGGCGGCAUUGCACGAUUUCUGCCAUUUGGAGAUCGUUUGAAUGCUUGGGGUGGCUGCCGGAAGCAUCACAACAGUUUGGACUCUUAAAUUAAAGUACACCGGGCACGUCCAGUAGACCUUGAGCAACAAGACAUGAAGCUCAAGGCAUUUUGAAGUGUUUUGUGGACGCAGGACAGGUUUUGGCAGACCUGGGGCAACAAGUUGAUCAGAUGGUUGAACUCA